rnacentral:rRNA from 1 species
UACGUAGGUGGCGAACGUUAUCCGGAUUUACUGGGCGUAAAGGGUCCGCAGGCGGCUUUAAAGGUCUGACGUGAAAGCUCCUGGCUUAACUGGGAGAAGCCGUUGGAAACCGUAAGGCUAGACUCACGCAGAGGUCGGUGGAAUUCCCGGUGUAGUGGUGGAAUGCGUAGAUAUCGGGAGGAACCCCAAAAGCGAAGGCAGCCGACUGGGCGAUGAGUGACGUUGAGGGACGAAAGUAUAGGGAGCGAACAGG